rnacentral:rRNA from 1 species
CGGCAGCAUGAUCUAGCUUGCUAGAUUGAUGGCGAGUGGCGAACGGGUGAGUAAUACAUCGGAACGUGCCCUGUAGUGGGGGAUAACUAGUCGAAAGAUUAGCUAAUACCGCAUACGACCUGAGGGUGAAAGUGGGGGACCGCAAGGCCUCAUGCUAUAGGAGCGGCCGAUGUCUGAUUAGCUAGUUGGUGAGGUAAAGGCUCACCAAGGCGACGAUCAGUAGCUGGUCUGAGAGGACGAUCAGCCACACUGGGACUGAGACACGGCCCAGACUCCUACGGGAGGCAGCAGUGGGGAAUUUUGGACAAUGGGCGAAAGCCUGAUCCAGCAAUGCCGCGUGUGUGAAGAAGGCCUUCGGGUUGUAAAGCACUUUUGUCCGGAAAGAAAUGGCUCUGGUUAAUACCUGGGGUCGAUGACGGUACCGGAAGAAUAAGGACCGGCUAACUACGUGCCAGCAGCCGCGGUAAUACGUAGGGUCCAAGCGUUAAUCGGAAUUACUGGGCGUAAAGCGUGCGCAGGCGGUUGUGCAAGACCGAUGUGAAAUCCCCGAGCUUAACUUGGGAAUUGCAUUGGUGACUGCACGGCUAGAGUGUGUCAGAGGGGGGUAGAAUUCCACGUGUAGCAGUGAAAUGCGUAGAGAUGUGGAGGAAUACCGAUGGCGAAGGCAGCCCCCUGGGAUAACACUGACGC